rnacentral:rRNA from 1 species
CGUGUAGGCGGAUCGUUAAGCACUGUGUGAAAUCCCCCGGCUCAACUGGGGAACUGCUUGGUAUACUGGCGAUCUUGAGACAGGUAGAGGCGAGCGGAACUCUUGGUGGAGCGGUGAAAUGCGUAGAUAUCAAGGGGAACGCCGGUGGCGAAAGCGGCUCGCUGGGCCUGUUCUGACGCUGAGACGCGAAAGCGUGGGGAGCGAACAGGAUUAGAUACCCUGGUAGUCC